AGACAACACUUAAUGAGCAUCUUGAAUGACUAGAUUCAAUAUUUUGUGGAGAUGUAGAAUCAUGCAAUCAUUUUAGAAACAUGACCCCAACAAAAGAUAAAUGGUCGGUGCCUAAUUCGUGAAACAAGUUGAAAUAUAAACAUUCGUUUCAAGAGAACUGGUGAGUUAUACCAAAACCUGAAGUAAAAGUGUUCAUUGCUUUCUCAAACCUGCAGCAGAAAAGGUAA